GUCUACAUCUGCCAGCUUCCACACUUCCAGCGUACAUUUGAAAACAAUACAGCUCUUUAUUCUCGUUGAUACCAGCGGUAUCAGUUGCAACAGUGGAAGAGUUAGAGACAGACACUUCAUAUUCUGUAUGUGAAGUUGAUACUGGAACACCAAAAAGCUUUUUGCCUUCUGUGAGCUAAAAGAGCACCUGUCAUUUGGUCUAAUCUACCAGCAGAAUAAUUCUGUGUACCACCUUCUUCCUCAGUUAGACUCUUCCCUGUGUUUGUAAUACAUAAUACAUCUGAAUGUCUUCCUGAAAGGCUGAAGGGCAGCCAUUGGAUUCCAAGCCACUGCAUCAGCAGCUUUGCCUGAAGAGAUACAUCCUACUUCCUAAAAGUUCUCCCAGCUUGAUCCUCGGUAUACUCAUUGAAUUGAUGGGUACUUAAACCCAGAUAUCCAGAAAGCUCACCUGUGAGCAAAGUGCCUUGAACUUACCUUGCCUCAUUUACUGCAGAGUUCAAAACUGUGCUGCUUCCAUUUUUACUCACUGAUUUUUUGAAUGACACAUAUCUGUGUGAACACCUUGGUGAAGCUUUUGGAGGUUCAAAAUACAAAUUUAAACAUCAA